rnacentral:tRNA from 1 species
GGCCGCUUAGCUCAGUUGGCUAGAGCGUUGCAUUCACAUUGCAAAAGUCGGGGGUUCGAGUCCCUCAGCGGCCA